CGCAUCUGUGCAUGCAGCAUAUCAAUAAGCGGAGGAAAAGAAACUAACAAGGAUUCCCUCAGUAACGGCGAGUGAAGCGGGAAGAGCUCAAAUUUGAAAUCUUGAAAGGUCACCUUUCACGAAUUGUAGUUUAAAGAAGUGUUUUCUGUUACGAUCGUAAUAUAAGUUCUAUGGAAUAGGACAUCACAGAGGGUGAGAAUCCCGUCUAUGAUUGCGAUUUGUAGCUUUGUGAUACACUUUCAAAGAGUCGGGUUGUUUGGGAAUGCAGCCCAAAACGGGAGGUAAAUUUCUUCUAAGGCUAAAUAUUGGCGAGAGACCGAUAGCGAACAAGUACCGUGAGGGAAAGAUGAAAAGAACUUUGAAAAGAGAGUUAAAUAGUACGUGAAAUUGUCAAAAGGGAAGCGUUUAACACCAGUGUUGUUUUCUGAAAAUCAACCUCUGUUAGCUUUAUGCAUGUUUGUUUAGACCUAAUCAGCUAUCUUGCAUGUUCUAUUGUUUGCAGUGGUGCACUUUUCAGUUUACAGGUCAACAUCAGUUUUUUUUACCGUAAAAAAGUUAAAGAAAGGUAGCUCAUGGCUCCGGUCGUGAGUGUUAUAGUCUUUUUCCUAUGCGGUAGGAGAGACUGAGGUCUGCAGUGUAGGCUAUUUGGCUAGAUACUCAGGUGCUAUGUGAUACCAUUUCAUAAACAACUUGUUGAUUAUGUUUUGUCUAUUGCAUACUCGCUUGUACUAUCAUACCUACGCUUAGGAUGUUGACGAUCAGCUGAGCGCG
rnacentral:rRNA from 1 species